UACGUAGGGUCCGAGCGUUGUCCGGAAUUAUUGGGCGUAAAGGGCUCGUAGGCGGUUCGUCACGUCGGGAGUGAAAACUCGGGGCUUAACCCCGAGCCUGCUUCCGAUACGGGCAGACUAGAGGUAGGCAGGGGAGAGCGGAACUCCUGGUGUAGCGGUGGAAUGCGCAGAUAUCAGGAGGAACACCGGUGGCGAAGGCGGGUCUCUGGGCCGUAACUGACGCUGAGAAGCGAAAGCAUGGGGAGCGAACAGG
rnacentral:rRNA from 1 species